rnacentral:SRP_RNA from 1 species
ACAAGGCAUGGUGGAGUGAGCCUGUAGUCCCACCUACGCAGAAGCUGAGGCAGAAGCUGAGGAUGGCUUGAGUCCGGGAGUUCUGGACUGUGGUGCACUAUGCUGGCCUGAACACAAUUCGGCAUUGAUAAUGGUGACCUCCUGGAGCAGGGACCACCAGGUUGCCUAAGAAGGUUGGCUGAACUGGCCCUCGUUGAAAUGGAGCAGGUCAAAACUCCUGUGCUGAUCAGUAGUGAGAUUCCCCCUGUGAAUAGCCACUGCCCUCCAUCCUCCAUAGAGAGACACUGUCUCUU